GUCCUAGCCGUAAACGUUGGGUGCUAGGUGUGGGCGGAUAUCGACCCCGUCCGUGCCGAAGCUAACGCAUUAAGCACCCCGCCUGGGGAGUACGGCCGCAAGGCUAAAACUCAAAGGAUUGACGGGGCCCGCACAAGCGGCGGAGCAUGUGGCUUAAUUCGAAGCGACGCGAAGAACCUUACCUGGGCUUGACAUGCGGGGUGAAACCGUAGAAAUACGGCGCUCUUCGGAGCCCGCACAGGUGGUGCAUGGCUGUCGU
rnacentral:rRNA from 1 species